UACGUAGGGUGCAAGCGUUAAUCGGAAUUACUGGGCGUAAAGCGUGCGCAGGCGGUUUUGUAAGUCUGUCGUGAAAGCCCCCGGCUCAACUGGGGAGGGUCACGCGAUACUGAUCGACUGGAAGGCAGGAGAGGGUAGUGGAAUUCCCGGUGUAGUGGUGAAAUGCGUAGAUAUCGGGAGGAACACCAGUGGCGAAGGCGACUACCUGGCCUGUUCUUGACGCUGAGGCGCGAAAGCUAGGGGAGCAAACGGG
rnacentral:rRNA from 1 species